AAUAAAAUGGCUGAGGAAAAUAAGCGAUAAAUUGUAAAUUUAUUAACGAGAAAGUCUCUUUUAUUA
rnacentral:tRNA from 1 species